rnacentral:lncRNA from 1 species
UUUAAUCCAAGCCAAUAAUGAAAUGGAUUGUAAUUAGAAAACAUAAUGUGAUUUAUUCAGGAGGGCAAACAUGACAAGUGAAAAGUGACAAGAUGUGCAGAAGUUGGCCUACUGAAUUUUUAACUCGAAGGAUCCAUGGUAGAAGGAUCCAUGGUAGAAUGCCUUCAGUGUCACCUCCAAAGAAGAUUUCUGCAUCAUGGUCAAUUGGACUUAUGCACAUUUUCAAUAAUUCUGAGGAGGUCCCCUCGAGAUCCUCGAAUAACUGGACCUGCUGGACGGGUCAAGUGGCGCCCGACGUGGAGCACGAGGUACGACUGCCCUCCGGACAACGGAUUAAGGAUUAAAGAGGUACCGCGCAGACAGAGAAACAGUGGGACAGUCCACCGACACUUCACUCGAGUGUCGAGUACGGACGUCGGGAGAUGUUAG